rnacentral:rRNA from 1 species
GACGAACGCUGGCGGCGUGCCUAAUACAUGCAAGUCGAACGCACAGUUUAUACCGUAGCUUGCUACACCAUAGACUGUGAGUUGCGAACGGGUGAGUAACGCGUAGGUAACCUGCCUGGUAGCGGGGGAUAACUAUUGGAAACGAUAGCUAAUACCGCAUAAUAUUGAUUAUUGCAUGAUAAUUGAUUGAAAGAUGCUAUUGCAUCACUACCAGAUGGACCUGCGUUGUAUUAGCUAGUAGGUGAGGUAACGGCUCACCUAGGCGACGAUACAUAGCCGACAGGAGAGGAUGAUCAGCCACACUGGGACGGAGACACGGCCCAGACUCCUACGGGAGGCAGCAGUAGUGAUUCUUCGGCAAGGGACGAAAGUCUGACCGAGCAACGCCGCGUGAGUGAGGAAGGUUUUCGGAUCGUAAAGCUCUGUUGUAAGAGAAGAACGGGUGUGAGAGUGGAAAGUUCACACUGUGACGGUAUCUGACCAGAAAGGGACGGCUAACUACGUG